rnacentral:rRNA from 1 species
GAUGAACGCUGGCGGCGUGCCUAAUACAUGCAAGUCGAGCGAACAGACGAGGAGCUUGCUCCUCUGACGUUAGCGGCGGACGGGUGAGUAACACGUGGAUAACCUACCUAUAAGACUGGGAUAACUUCGGGAAACCGGAGCUAAUACCGGAUAAUAUAUUGAACCGCAUGGUUCAAUAGUGAAAGACGGUUUUGCUGUCACUUAUAGAUGGAUCCGCGCCGCAUUAGCUAGUUGGUAAGGUAACGGCUUACCAAGGCAACGAUGCGUAGCCGACCUGAGAGGGUGAUAGGCCACACUGGAACUGAGACACGGUCCAGACUCCUACGGGAGGCAGCAGUAGGGAAUCUGCCGCAAUGGGCGAAAGCCUGACGGAGCAACGCCGCGUGAGUGAUGAAGGUCUUCGGAUCGUAAAACUCUGUUAUGAGGGAAGAACAAAUGUGUAAGUAACUAUGCACGUCUUGACGGUACCUAAUCAGAAAGCCACGGCUAACUACGUG